GUUUUCCUGGGAUUUUCUGGGAAUUUUUUUUGGGAUCAUUCCCAGUUUUCCUGGGAUUCUCUGGGAAUUUUUUUUUGGGAUCAUUCCCAGUUUUCCUGGGAUUUUCUGGGAUUUUUCUGGGAUCUUUUCGGGUUUUCCUGGGGUUUUUGUGGGAUUUU
rnacentral:lncRNA from 1 species